AGGGUUGGGCAAAGUCUGCAAACAUCCCUGUAAACUAUAUAUGGGGAUAUAAGCUGCGUGGCUACAGAGUGAGCAGGGUGCAGUAAGGUAACCGACUGACAGUGAUUAAACUCCAGUAAGGGUAAGCUGAGUUCAGUUAGGGUAGGAGGCACACAGUGAGUGAUUGACUUCUACACUGUGGGCAUAUGGUGAACUGGGGACAACGUGACCUGUGACUAAGUGGCAUACAGGGGCACGUGAGGCAUGCAGUAAGUGAGUGGCAUACAGGGGUACAGGAAGCAUGCAGUAAGUGAGUGGCAUACAGGGGUAAAGAAAGCAAGCAGUAAGUGAGUGGCUUACAGGGGUACAGGAGGCGGGCAGCGAUUGAGUGACUGGCUACAUAAGAGUGUAUUGCUGAACAUGAUGAGCCAGUUGUCGCAGCACUGGUGGGGAGUCACUGUUUCACAGUCUAAUGCCCUCCUGCUGGGCAUCAUUAUUAUUGUCUGUCUUCUGCUGCUGGACUUCAUUAAGCGCAGGAAGCCCUGGUCUCGCUACCCCCCAGGCCCCAUGUCUAGACCCUUCCUGGGAAACAUGCUGCAACUUGACUUCAACAACCUCCACAGCAACUUCAUACAGCUGAGCAAACUCUAUGGGGACGUAUUCAGCCUGCAGUUAUUCUGGCAAAAUGUGGUUGUGUUGAAUGGUUUUGAAGCUAUGAAAGAAGCUCUGCUACAAAAGUCUGAUGAUAUCGCUGACAGACCCAGGUUUCCUUUGUUUGAAGCUUUUGGUCUAAGUGGGAAUUCCCAGGCUGUGGUCAUGGCCCACUAUGGGAGGGCCUGGAAGGAGCAGAGACGCUUCUCGCUGUCGACACUGAGAGAUUUUGGAAUGGGAAAGAAGUCACUAGAGAACAGAUGGACAGAGGAGGCUUGGCAUCUGUGUGCGGCUUUCAAGGCUGAGCAGGGACAGCCUUUUAACCCCAGUUACAUCAUCAAGAUCGCUGUCAGUAACAUCAUAUCUUCCAUUAUAUUUGGGGAUCGGUUUGAUUACGACAAUGAGAAAUUCCAGCUGAUGCUGAACCACUUUGAUGAGGCAUUGAAAGCUGAAUCAUCAUUAAUUGCACAGGUCGUUAAUGCUAUCCCAUGUCUGAUACACAUCCCUGGUUUGGCUAAAGUUAUUAUCCGGCCACAUAUCCAGAUGAUUGACUACCUCGGCAAGAUGGUACAUGAGCAGCAGGAAUCCUGGCACGCUGGCUAUACCAGGCAUUUAAUAGAUGCCUUCUUACUGGAGAUGGAGAGGGCAAAAGAUGACAAAGAGAGCAGUUUUAAUAAGAAGAAUCUUGUAUUUACUUCUAUGGACUUAUUUACAGCUGGCAUAGAAACCACCAGCACCACCCUGCGAUGGGCUUUGCUCUACAUGUUACUGUAUCCAGAAGUCCAGCGAAAAGUUCAGGAAGAAAUUGACCAGGUGAUUGGACGAAAUAGGAGACCUACAAUGAUGGAUGUGUUGAGUAUGCCAUACACCAACGCCGUGAUCCAUGAAGUCCAGCGAUGUGGAGAUAUUGUGCCUUUGGCACUACCACAUAAGGCAUACCGAGACACCCAGAUACAAGGACUAUUCAUCCCCAAGGGCACGGUCGUGAUGACCAAUCUGUCCUCGGUGCUGAAGGACGACAGAGUGUGGGAGAAGCCGCAGCAGUUUUACCCAGGGCACUUCCUAGAUGCAGAUGGCAGAUUUGUGAAACGUGAGGCGUUCAUGGUAUUUUCUGCAGGAGACCGGUACUCCUAUGGCUGUGUGAUUGACAGGGUUCUUCACGCCCCAUAGUAUACGCAUCAGCGUGUGUUGCACGCUGAGGAUGUCAUCACUCCUUGACACUGCACGCGGGCCGCAAAUUGCGGUUCGGCGUUUGGAGACUUCACACAUGGGUAUUUAAGGUCGGCGAUCGUGCCUGGGGGAGCAGUUAGCCAGGAUGGGCCUUUUCCUCUUCUUUACCAGCCUCCUACAGACAUUUACAUUUCAGAUCCCCAGUGACCAACCUCCGCCAAGAGAAGACCCUUUGGUUACUGUGAC